rnacentral:lncRNA from 1 species
CACUAGAUUCAUUGGAAAGUAGACUCGAAGAGCUUUCCAACAAGUGCUCAUGGGCCUUCAUAGCAUCUCGAAAGUGAAAGUUAUGAUCUUUUCUUUCAACUGGUCCGUUCUGCACCGUACUGGUCCGAUCUGCCCUUCUUUCAACUGGUCUGUUCUGCACCGUGUUGUUCCAAUCCUUGCGAUCCAGGUCACCUCCCUCCUCAUGUGUAUACCUAAGCACAACCAAAGUAGAACA